rnacentral:rRNA from 1 species
UACAGAGGGGGCAAGCGUUGUUCGGAAUUACUGGGCGUAAAGGGCGCGUAGGCGGGUCUUUAAGUCAGGGGUGAAAUCCUGGAGCUCAACUCCAGAACUGCCUUUGAUACUGAAGAUCUUGAGUUCGGGAGAGGUGAGUGGAACUGCGAGUGUAGAGGUGAAAUUCGUAGAUAUUCGCAAGAACACCAGUGGCGAAGGCGGCUCACUGGCCCGAUACUGACGCUGAGGCACGAAAGCGUGGGGAGCAAACAGG